rnacentral:lncRNA from 1 species
UAUCAUGGCAAUGAAAAUAAAUAUAAGACAAUUGUAACUAAUGCAUGCAUUAAAGUCAUACGGAAUUGAAUCAGCUGUGGUAUUCAAUUUUUUUCUCAUUUUGAUAAAAUAUGCUUUCUGAUUGGAUGAAGGCAUGAACUGAAACCAACUCGGUAGUAUCAACAUUCAGGGAUUUCACCAACUCCAUUACUGGCACCUCCUUCUUGGGAGUAAAUAUGUAGUUAUGAUAUUCUUAUAGUCUAUAACAGUUCCAAUAUUUUUUAUCAACUAUAUUCAUACGAAAUAAUGGAAUAAAUUGUUCACCAUUUUGAGGG